CGGCGGUUCUAUUUUGUUGGUUUCUAGAGCCACCGUAAUGAUUAAUAGGGAUAGUCGGGGGCAUCAGUAUUCAAUUGUCAGAGGUGAAAUUCUUGGAUUUAUUGAAGACUAACUACUGCGAAAGCAUUUGCCAAGGAUGUUUUCAUUAAUCAGUGAACGAAAGUUAGGGGAUCGAAGACGAUCAGAUACCGUCGUAGUCUUAACCAUAAACUAUGCCGACUAGGGAUCGGGCGGUGUUCAACUUAUGACCCGCUCGGCACCUUACGAGAAAUCAAAGUUUUUGGGUUCUGGGGGGAGUAUGGUCGCAAGGCUGAAACUUAAAGGAAUUGACGGAAGGGCACCACCAGAUGUGGAGCCUGCGGCUUAAUUUGACUCAACACG
rnacentral:rRNA from 1 species